rnacentral:rRNA from 1 species
GGCGUGCUUAACACAUGCAAGUCGAGCGGUAAGGCCCUUCGGGGUACACGAGCGGCGAACGGGUGAGUAACACGUGGGUAACCUGCCCUGUACUCUGGGAUAAGCCUUGGAAACGAGGUCUAAUACCGGAUACGACCACUGAUCGCAUGAUCGGUGGUGGAAAGUUCCGGCGGUACAGGAUGGACCCGCGGCCUAUCAGCUUGUUGGUGGGGUAAUGGCCUACCAAGGCGACGACGGGUAGCCGGCCUGAGAGGGUGACCGGCCACACUGGGACUGAGACACGGCCCAGACUCCUACGGGAGGCAGCAGUGGGGAAUAUUGCACAAUGGGCGAAAGCCUGAUGCAGCGACGCCGCGUGAGGGAUGACGGCCUUCGGGUUGUAAACCUCUUUCAGCAGGGACGAAGCGCAAGUGACGGUACCUGCAGAAGAAGCACCGGCUAACUACGUGCCAGCAGCCGCGGUAAUACGUAGGGUGCGAGCGUUGUCCGGAAUUAUUGGGCGUAAAGAGCUCGUAGGCGGUUUGUCGCGUCGGCCGUGAAAACUUGGGGCUUAACUCCAAGCUUGCGGUCGAUACGGGCAGACUUGAGUUCGGCAGGGGAGACUGGAAUUCCUGGUGUAGCGGUGAAAUGCGCAGAUAUCAGGAGGAACACCGGUGGCGAAGGCGGGUCUCUGGGCCGACACUGACGCUGAGGAGCGAAAGCGUGGGGAGCGAACAGGAUUAGAUACCCUGGUAGUCCACGCCGUAAACGGUGGGUGCUAGGUGUGGGGGGCUUCCACGCCCUCUGUGCCGCAGCUAACGCAUUAAGCACCCCGCCUGGGGAGUACGGCCGCAAGGCUAAAACUCAAAGGAAUUGACGGGGGCCCGCACAAGCGGCGGAGCAUGUGGAUUAAUUCGAUGCAACGCGAAGAACCUUACCUGGGCUUGACAUGGACUAGAAAGCUCUAGAGAUAGAGCCUCCCUUGUGGCUGGUUCACAGGUGGUGCAUGGCUGUCGUCAGCUCGUGUCGUGAUCGUGUCGUGAGAUGUUGGGUUAAGUCCCGCAACGAGCGCAACCCUCGUUCCAUGUUGCCAGCACGUAAUGGUGGGGACUCAUGGGAGACUGCCGGGGUCAACUCGGAGGAAGGUGGGGAUGACGUCAAGUCAUCAUGCCCCUUAUGUCCAGGGCUUCACACAUGCUACAAUGGCCGGUACAAAGGGCUGCUAAGCCGUGAGGUGGAGCGAAUCCCAUAAAGCCGGUCUCAGUUCGGAUCGGGGUCUGCAACUCGACCCCGUGAAGUCGGAGUCGCUAGUAAUCGCAGAUCAGCAACGCUGCGGUGAAUACGUUCCCGGGCCUUGUACACACCGCCCGUCACGUCACGAAAGUCGGUAACACCCGAAGCCCGUGGCUCAACCCGCAAGGGGGAGACCGGUCAAAGGUGG